AGAAGAAGCUCCGGCUAACUUCGUGCCAGCAGCCGCGGUAAUACGAAGGGGGCUAGCGUUGUUCGGAAUUACUGGGCGUAAAGCGCGCGUAGGCGGAUUGGAAAGUUGGGGGUGAAAUCCCAGGGCUCAACCCUGGAACUGCCUCCAAAACUAUCAGUCUAGAGUUCGAGAGAGGUGAGUGGAACUCCGAGUGUAGAGGUGAAAUUCGUAGAUAUUCGGAAGAACACCAGUGGCGAAGGCGGCUCACUGGCUCGAUACUGACGCUGAGGUGCGAAAGUGUGGGGAGCAAACAGGAUUAGAUACCCUGGUAGUCCACGCCGUAAACGAUGAGAACUUGACGUUG
rnacentral:rRNA from 1 species